ACUGAGUGGCGGACGGGUGAGUAACGCGUGGGUAACCUGCCUCAUACAGGGGGAUAACAGUUAGAAAUGACUGCUAAUACCGCAUAAGCGCACAGCUUCGCAUGGAGCAGUGUGAAAAACUCCGGUGGUAUGAGAUGGACCCGCGUCAGAUUAGCUAGUUGGCAGGGUAACGGCCUACCAAGGCGACGAUCUGUAGCCGACCUGAGAGGGUGACCGGCCACAUUGGGACUGAGACACGGCCCAAACUCCUACGGGAGGCAGCAGUGGGGAAUAUUGCACAAUGGGGGAAACCCUGAUGCAGCGACGCCGCGUGAGCGAAGAAGUAUUUCGGUAUGUAAAGCUCUAUCAGCAGGGAAGAAACUGACGGUACCUGACUAAGAAGCACCGGCUAAAUACGUGCCAGCAGCCGCGGUAAAACGUAGGGUGCAAGCGUUGUCCGGAAUUACUGGGUGUAAAGGGAGCGCAGGCGGACCGGCAAGUUGGAAGUGAAAACUAUGGGCUCAACCCAUAAAUUGCUUUCAAAACUGCUGGCCUUGAGUAGUGCAGAGGUAGGUGGAAUUCCCGGUGUAGCAGUGGAAUGCGUAGAUAUCGGGAGGAACACCAGUGGCGAAGGCGACCUACUGGGCACCAACUGACGCUGAGGCUCGAAAGCAUGGGUAGCAAACAGGAUUAGAUACCCUGGUAGUCCAUGCCGUAAACGAUGAUUACUAGGUGUUGGAGGAUUGACCCCUUCAGUGCCGCAGUUAACACAAUAAGUAAUCCACCUGGGGAGUACGACCGCAAGGUUGAAACUCAAAGGAAUUGACGGGGGCCCGCACAAGCAGUGGAGUAUGUGGUUUAAUUCGAAGCAACGCGAAGAACCUUACCAGGUCUUGACAUCCGAUGCAUAGUGCAGAGAUGCAUGAAGUCCUUCGGGACAUCGAGACAGGUGGUGCAUGGUUGUCGUCAGCUCGUGUCGUGAGAUGUUGGGUUAAGUCCCGCAACGAGCGCAACCCUUAUUGCCAGUUACUACGCAAGAGGACUCUGGCGAGACUGCCGUUGACAAAACGGAGGAAGGUGGGGAUGACGUCAAAUCAUCAUGCCCUUUAUGACCUGGGCUACACACGUACUACAAUGGCGUUUAACAAAGAGAAGCAAGACCGCGAGGUGGAGCAAAACUCAAAAACAACGUCUCAGUUCAGAUUGCAGGCUGCAACUCGCCUGCAUGAAGUCGGAAUUGCUAGUAAUCGCGAAUCAGCAUGUCGCGGUGAAUACGUUCCCGGGCCUUGCACACACCGCCCGUCA
rnacentral:rRNA from 1 species